rnacentral:ncRNA from 1 species
AUGGAAGAACAUUAGAAAAUCUUAGUAUGUCUGUCUUGGUACAGUGAUGUUCUGCCAAGGAUGGCAGAACAAGGCUUCACGGGCCACGGACGGCACGUUGAAGCCGGUCACGUCAAAACAAAGCCACUUUUUCAGACAUACUUAGAUUUUCUUAUGUUCGCAC